rnacentral:rRNA from 1 species
UGCAGUCGAACGAGAUCUUCGGAUCUAGUGGCGCACGGGUGAGUAACGCGUGGGAACCUACCUUUUAGUACGGGACAACGUUUGGAAACGAACGCUAAUACCGUAUACGCCCUCCGGGGGAAAGGUCAGCCGCUAAAAGAGGGGCCCGCGUCUGAUUAGCUUGUUGGUAAGGUAAUGGCUUACCAAGGCUACGAUCAGUAGCUGGUCUGAGAGGAUGAUCAGCCACACUGGGACUGAGACACGGCCCAGACUCCUACGGGAGGCAGCAGUGGGGAAUAUUGGACAAUGGAGGCAACUCUGAUCCAGCAAUGCCGCGUGUGUGAUGAAGGCCCUAGGGUUGUAAAGCACUUUCAACGGUGAAGAUGAUGACGGUAGCCGUAGAAGAAGCCCCGGCUAACUUCGUGCCAGCAGCCGCGGUAAUACGAAGGGGGCGAGCGUUAUUCGGAAUUAUUGGGCGUAAAGGGCUCGCAGGCUGCUUGAACAGUUAGACGUGAAAUCCCCGGGCUCAACCUGGGAACUGCGUUUAAUACUAGCAAGCUAGAGAAAUAGAGAGGAAAGUGGAACUCCCAGUGUAGAGGUGAAAUUCGUAGAUAUUGGGAAGAACACCAGUGGCGAAAGCGACUUUCUGGCUAUUUUCUGACGCUGA